rnacentral:lncRNA from 1 species
GGGCAACCCACAGUCAAGAAUUGAUCACUGUAGGGGUAUAAGGUUUUGGCCAUUGACUCUGGUUCAGAACAACUCUGAUGUACCAUUCUAACUCCAUGAUUCUCUUUGGGGUCAGCCAAGUCUGUCUUGCCUGCAUCACAUCUUGAAUUUUUUGAAAUCUUACUUACUUUCUCUUACUUCCACAGGUGUUGAUUCUAAGGAUACCCCCAAUAAACAUCUUUCGUGCUAAAGCCCAUUCCAGAAUUUACUUCCCAGCUAUCUUUGAUGUUCAUAUUGUCAGAGGUGGUGGCCGCUGAAACAGGCAAAGACAUGGAGCAUAUCUUGGGUCCAGGACCUUGGGAGUCCAGAGGAAGGUCUUUUUACCAUCAGCAUUCUCUACUGUGUUCAAUGACUGUCAG